rnacentral:rRNA from 1 species
UACCCGGAGUCUGGGGCGUGAUAGCGGUGCCUAUAGAGCCAGAAGUGAUUGAGCCAGGCUGCCAAGAAAAACCUCUAAGUGAUGAUAUUUAGGUGACCGUACCGCAAACCGACACUGGUAGGUGGGUAGAGUAUACCAAGGGGAUCGAGAGAACCUUCGUUAAGGAAUUAGGCAAAAUGCCCCCGUAACUUCGGGAUAAGGGGGGCCUCUGCUGGUGAUACUAUUCGUUGAGCUGGUGGAGGCCGCAGAGAAACGGCUCUUUCAACUGUUUAACAAAAACACAGGUCUCUGCUAAGUCGAAAGACGAUGUAUAGGGGCUGACGCCUGCCCAGUGCUGGAAGGUUAAGGGGAGAGGUUAGCGAAAGCGAAGCUUUGAACCGAAGCCAGUGAACGGCGGCCGUAACAAUAACGGUCCUAAGGUAGCGAAAUUCCUUGUCGGGUAAGUUCCGACCCGCACGAAUGGCGUAAUGAGAGGAGCACUGUCUCAACGAGGGACUCGGCGAACAUUGAAGUACGUGUAAAGAUGCGCGUUACCCGCAGCAGGACAAAAAGACCCCGUGAAGCUUUACUACAGCUUGGCAUUGAGUUAGGGCUUAUCUUGUGUAGGAUAGGUGGGAGGCUUUGAAGCUGGGACGCCAGUCUCGGUGGAGCCAUCGUUGAAAUACCACCCUGGCUAAGUCUUGGCUCUAACCCGCGACCGUCAUCCGGCGUAGGGACAGUGCCUGGUGGGUAGUUUGACUGGGGCGGUCGCCUCCGAAAGUGUAACAGAGGCGCCCAAAGGUUCCCUCAGGCUGAAUGGAAACCAGCCGUAGAGUGUAAAGGCACAAGGGAGCUUGACUGCAAGACAUACACGUCGCGCAGGUACGAAAGUAGGGCUUAGUGAUCCCACGGUUCCAUGUGGUAGGGCCGUGGCUUACCGGAUAAAAGCUACUCCGGGGAUAACAGGCUAGUCUUGUCCAAGAGUUCACAUCGACGACAAGGCUCGGCACCUCGAUGUCGGCUCAUCGCAUCCUGGGGCUGGAUAAGGUCCCAAGGGUUGGACUGUUCGUCCAUUAAAGCGGUACGUGAGCUGGGUUCAGACCGUCGUGAGACAGGUCGGUCUCUAUCCGCUGUGGGCGCAAGGGAUUUGAGAGGGGCUGCCCCUAGUACGAGAGGACCGGGGUGGACAGACCUCUAGUGUGCCAGUUGUACCGCAGGUGCAUCGCUGGGUAGCUACGUCUGGCAGAGAUAACCGCUGAAAGCAUCUAAGCGGGAAACUUGCCUCAAGAUUAGAUCCCUCAUCCGUUAUGGAGUAAGACCGCUAGGAGACCACUAGCUUGAUAGGCGGCAAGUGUAAGUGCAGUAAUGUACUCAGCUAAGCCGUACUAAUGGUCGAGGGCUUACGAUA